rnacentral:rRNA from 1 species
UACGGAGGGUGCAAGCGUUAAUCGGAAUUACUGGGCGUAAAGAGCACGUAGGCGGUCUAGUAAGUCGGGUGUGAAAGCCCUAGGCUCAACCUAGGAACUGCAUCCGAUACUGCGAGGCUAGAGUACGAGAGAGGGGGGUAGAAUUCCUGGUGUAGCGGUGAAAUGCGUAGAUAUCAGGAGGAAUACCAGUGGCGAAGGCGGCCCCCUGGACCGAUACUGACGCUGAGGUGCGAAAGCGUGGGGAGCAAACAGG